ensembl:miRNA
UUACCCAGCCUGUAGGGCCUUUACUGAUGUUCGUACGGGGUGAGGUAGUAGGUUGUGUGGUU